UACAGAGGUGGCAAGCGUUGUUCGGAAUUACUGGGCGUAAAGGGCGCGUAGGCGGUUCGUUAAGUCCUGUGUGAAACCCCCCGGCUCAACUGGGGAACUGCACAGGAAACUAGCGGGCUUGAGUUCGGGAGAGGGAAGCGGAAUUCCGGGUGUAGCGGUGAAAUGCGUAGAUAUCGGGAAGAACACCCGUGGCGAAGGCGGUUCUCUGGGACGGUACUGACGGCUGAGACGCGAAAGCGUGGGGAGCGAACAGG
rnacentral:rRNA from 1 species